rnacentral:rRNA from 1 species
UACGAAGGUGGCAAGCGUUGUUCGGAUUCACUGGGCGUACAGGGUGUGUAGGCGGUUUGGUAAGCCUUCUGUUAAAGCUUCGGGCCCAACCCGGAAAGCGCAGAGGGUACUGCCAGGCUAGAAGACGGGAGAGGAGCGCGGAAUUCCCGGUGUAGCGGUGAAAUGCGUAGAGAUCGGGAGGAAGGCCGGUGGCGAAGGCGGCGCUCUGGAACGUUACUGACGCUGAGACACGAAAGCGUGGGGAGCAAACAGG